CCCCUUAUUGUCCAAUAAACGAUGUUCAUUCCCACUAACAGACCCUACUGCCCAAUUAUUAAAAACCCCAAAUUAUAUUUACAUUUUCUUAAACCCUGAAGAAGUACAAAUGUUGCACUGGCUGGAUAAUUCUAUAUAAGACCCUUAUUAGUUCUCAUCUGCUCAUCAGUCCUCUUGCCACCCCGUCUUCCUUUUCCUAAUCUCUGUUGUUUGAAAUUUUGCAAUGGCUUUCAAAGUGGAUGAUGAUUCAACAAUUGACACAUCCUACCCUUCCAAUGGAACCGUCGCGGUGGAAUUAUAUGCAGGAGUGAUUUCUUAUAGGUAUUCAAUUUUGACGUUUCUUAUUUUCCAUUCUCAUUUCUUUACUGUAGUGUAUUUUUUUUUUACUGCAGAAGUUCCUUCAUUCCAUCUCCUAUAGGUUUCUACCUAUAAGGAUUGAUGUAUAUUAGUUUCAUAUUUGUUUUGUUGGGAAACAAUGUCACAAAAGAUGAGUUUUUUUUGAAAGUGUUGUUCCGGUGUGUUCUAUUUUUACUAAUUAGAUUUUGUGUUUUUCCCUCUUGCUUUUAAUCAGAUUAAAAUAGCAGGGAUGU
rnacentral:lncRNA from 1 species